CUUCCUAACUCUCUCUCUCUCUUUCUUUUUCUUUUCUAAAUUUUCGCCACACAAGGUGCAGCCUCGAGUUUCUUCACGAUCGGGAAUUCAAACAACAUCCGAUUGUCACGAAAUUUUAACCAAAGGUAGAAGACUCAUAAAGGAUCAUUCUUACCGAAGGAGAUCAAAUUUUAACGGUUAGAUUUUCCAGAAAUAAUUUCGGAAGUGGCUGUCGGUUUCUACAGUAGCAGCGUCGAUUUUCUAUACGAUCGGGGGUUCAAACGUAGUCCGAUCGUUCUGAAAUUUUAAAGGAAGGAUUUAGCUCGUGGUUUGAUAAUCAUUACCUCGAGAGGAUGAUAAGAGAUUUCUAUGACGAGACUUGGAAUCCUCCUUCCUAAAGAGAGUUUGAACACUUGGUAUCGGGAGGUUGGGAACUUCUUCGUCUACUUGCUCGAAAAUAAAAGUUUGGAAGUGAAAGAGAAUUUUGGGUAGGCGUCGAAGUAGAGUCAAGGAGCUUGUUUGAUGGCGGAGCUCCCGGGAUGGUGCAGGUGGUAAAGAAGGUCAAGUCUAGGAGGUUUUUCUAAAAUGGAAGCAGGAGUUACUAAUCGCUCGCGAUGUCGGACUUUCUUUUAUCAUUGUAAACAUUCAAAUACCACUUGUUAUUUUAUGCAUCUAGAUUAGUGCA